GACCCGUUAGCUCAGACGGUAGAGCACCUGACUUUUAAUCAGGGUGUCCGGGGUUCGAGUCCCCGACGGGUCACCA
rnacentral:tRNA from 1 species